rnacentral:rRNA from 1 species
UACGUAGGGGGCAAGCGUUGUCCGGAUUUAUUGGGCGUAAAGAGCGUGUAGGCGGCCAUGUAGGUCCGGUGUGAAAACUCGAGGCUUAACCUCGAGAUGUCAUCGGAAACCAUUUGGCUAGAGUCCGGAAGAGGAGAGUGGAAUUCCUGGUGUAGCGGUGAAAUGCGCAGAUAUCAGGAAGAACACCAAUGGCGAAAGCAGCUCUCUGGGACGGUACUGACGCUGAGACGCGAAAGCGUGGGGGAGCGAACAGG